AGUCCCCAGCUGAAAUAAUAUUGGGGAUUAGGCCUGCCCAGUGAGUUAUAACUUACACUUAAACGGCUGCAGUAUCCUGACUGUACUAAGGUAGCAUAAUAAUUUGGCCUUUAAUUGGGGUCUGGAAUGAAAGGUUUUACGGGGUACAGCUGUUUCAGUUUAAGAUGUGUUAAUUUAACCUAAAAGGUGAAGAGGCCUUUAUGUAUAAAAAGGACGAGAAGACCCCGGAGAGCUUGUGUUAAUAUUUUUCACAAAAAUUGAUACCUUUGAUUGGGGCGAUUAAGGAGCAAGAAAAGCCUCCUUUAUUAUAGGCAAAACAUAAGUAGAUCCACAAAAAGUGAAUUUUGGUUUAAGUUACCUCGGGGAUAACAGCAUAAUUUUAGUUAAGAGACCCUAUCUAAACUAAAGCUUAUGACCUCGAUGUUGGACUAGGGGAGCUCCUGUUACUUGAUGCAGUCGUCCAGGAAGCUAGCCUGUUCGGCUAUUAAAUCCCUAC
rnacentral:rRNA from 1 species